GUUGAUUGAUUUUGUUUAUAGUUAAACGUCAAGUGGCAACUAUUUCAUUAGAGUGCGCAUUGAGUAUAAUUUUAGGAUGUCCCAUAUAAAUAUCGGCAAUGACAAAUCUCUCGAUAAAUCUGACAAAUUUGACGAGAUUGUUGAUAGUUUUACCACACCGUAUGCUUACGGACACUGUACAAUUUCUGUUAGAAUAUUUUGCGGGAAAUAGAAUAGUAAAUCCAAUGCAAACAAGUUGAAUAUCAAUGAAAUAUCCAUGCAAGUAUAAAUU
rnacentral:lncRNA from 1 species